rnacentral:rRNA from 1 species
UACGGGGGGGGCAAGCGUUGUUCGGAAUUACUGGGCGUAAAGGGCUCGUAGGCGGCCAACUAAGUCGGAUGUGAAAUCCCCAGGCUUAACCUGGGAACUGCAUCCGAUACUGGAUGGCUUGAAUUCGGGAGAGGGAUGCAGAAUUCCAGGUGUAGCGGUGAAAUGCGUAGAUAUCCGGAGGAAUACCGGUGGCGAAGGCGGCAUCCUGGACCGAGAUUGACGCUGAUGAGCGAAAGCUAGGGGAGCAAACGGG